GGCGGGGUCGUCUAAUGGGAGGACACUGGGCUCAUUCCCCAGUUACGGAAGUUCGAAUCUUUCCCCCGCAAGAGCA
rnacentral:tRNA from 1 species